rnacentral:rRNA from 1 species
AUUGAACGCUGGCGGCAGGCCUAACACAUGCAAGUCGAGCGAGCGGCGGACGGGUGAGUAAUGUCUGGGAAACUGCCUGAUGGAGGGGGAUCACUACUGGAAACGGUAGCUAAUACCGCAUACCAUCAGAUGUGCCCAGAUGGGAUUAGCCAGUAGGUGGGGUAAUGGCACACCUAGGCGACGCUCCCUAGCUGGUCUGAGAGGAUGACCAGCCAAAGUGGAACUGAGACACGGUCCAGCGUCCUACGGGAGGCAGCAGUGGGGAAUAUUGCACAAGGGGCGCAAGCCUGAUGCAGCCAUGCCGCGUGUAUGAAGAAGGCCUUCGGGUUGGAAAGUACUGUCAGCGGGGAGGCGUUACCCGCAGAAGAAGCACCGGCUAACUCCGUGCCAGCCGCCGCGGUAAUUC